rnacentral:tRNA from 1 species
GUCAGGAUGGCCGAGUGGUCUAAGGCCGCUGCGUUAAGGUCGCAGUCUCCCCCGGGAGGCGUGGGUCCAAAUCCCACUUCUGACA